rnacentral:lncRNA from 1 species
AGCAUGCUGUUCAUCGGAGGUUCAUCAAAUUUGUAGAUGUCAGACUUUGCCAGGGUGGCAGAGAACUUUUACAUGUCAGAGGCGCUACUGAGCAAAGCUGGCUUGUCUGUCUAAUGCUCUUUUUGUCCAUUUACCAUCAGUAAACAUCUUACAUGUUCCAAACACUCUUUAAUAGACUUAUGUGUUCUCUUGUUUCAGGCCAAUGAGGCAGGAGAUUCCUUCCCUAUCUGGGGCCCGUGUCUGUGGAUGCAGCCGUUGACUUUUCUGAUGGCCAUAGAGAACCUGCUGACCAAAACCACAGCUGAGCAGAUGGCCCUGCCCCUGAACCUCACCACAGACAUUCAAGGAAAAUGAGAACCUGCAACAUUUCUUGUCCACAAACAAGGCUAAGAAUGGUGCCAUCUUUGUCUCAACCAUGGAAGGGAAUCAACUACAAGUACAACUACAGUUUUUUUUAAAUAGGCCUUUAACAGAUCAUACAUAGUUGUUUUUUUAGAUAAAGCAAUGUAAAUCAAUGUGGGCUGCAUAAUCUGUACGAACUAUGCCGCACAAAGUAAUUGUUAGUAUCACAAUAUUAUAAUAGUUUUAUAAUAGUUGUAGUGGAAAUUUCCUGUAUUUACCAAAUCAUCAGACCAAACCACCACACAAGUCAGAGUUAUCAUAAAGUCCAUCUUUAAUUAUAUGAGCUCCAUCACAACCCUGUGACUCUCAGAUCAAUUCAGUGUCUAUAAAUGAAUUCUCUGAGAGUCCUUACAAAACAGUUCUUAGUAUCAUUUAUAGCCAAGACACACCCAUCUCAACUCACAUGACGAAUAACAGAUCUUAGGAACAUUACAAAGGAAGACCUUACUUGAGAGAGGAGUAUUCCAUAGCCAGACAGCAUUAGCUAUAAAUUAUCGUUCAGUUUGCUCUCCUAAAACGAGGUUCUACUUCUCGUUCUUGCUACAACAUAGUACCAAGACAUUAGGAUAUAUAUCAAUUGUCAUUUUAGACACUCCCAUUCUGGACAAGCUCACAGAGACACAGUGACUGGCACACAGACAUUGUGGAGCCAAGAGAUAAUUGGUUCCCCCCUCAAUCAUCCCUUCACAUGGUUUAAAAGAUAUGUUUACAUAUGAAGACAAGCUUGACCUCUCCCCUCUCUGAGGCCCAAGUAACUGAACCCUGACAGAGAACAGUUAACUGCAACCGGCCAACAGUAUUAUCCAAAAAUAGACAUUCUAAUGACAUAUCUCACAUAAGCAUGCAAUAAAAAUAAAACAUCUUAUCUAUGUUACCCAACUAUUCUGAUUAAUCCCCAACAUAGUGUAAUAACAUUAUUGCUCUAAUGGGUCACCAGGAAGGACAUCUAAAGGAAUGAGCAUAAGCAGCCAGGUCACCUGUGAUACAAAUCAGUAUUUGACGUACAUCU